CAGAAAGGGCCUUUCUUUAUUCAAAAACAAGUAGCGGCCCCUUCUCCCUAGGGAGGUAUUAAAAUUGUAAUCAUAAGGAAAAGUUUGACUAUGUGGAACCGCCCCAUACAGUGUAUAUAAGGAGAUACCAAAUAACAUUCGGGAGAUCUCCUUGCAAGGACUCUCACUUUAUUUUCUUUAAAAUAAUGUCUUUUCUUCUGAGAGAAAAAUCCCUUACUGAGUGUGAUUCUUCGGAGAACCGGCAGACGACACCACAGAUUUGGCACCCCAGAUGGGACUGGAAAAGAGCAACAGAGUGGACAACCGCUUUUGAGCUGACCGAUGAUCAACACAACCGGGUGGCCACCAUAAAAUAAGGUAAGCAUUUUUGCUUAUAAAAUUUGUUUGUGUUGGUUGAGGUCAGUUCUGAGUGGUAAGGACACUUAAAAUCUGCUCUUCCAAAUUUAGAAAAAUAAUAGGAUAUCUAAAUUGAAAAAGGGGUUUUACUCCAGAAGAAAUAACUGCAUGCACAUAUUUGGUUUAUUAAUAGGAAAGCCUUGGAAGGUAACCUUGAUUUAAAACAAAGAUGGUGUAGGCAGAAAGACAUUGUAUGCAAUGGUCUGUGUUUAUUGGAGAACUGGGCUUAGGAAGGACAGUAAUAAAUGGAGAAGCAAAUUAGUUAAGGAAUCUCGAGGAAAAGCCCCACGGAUACCGCUUUGAGAAAGUAUAAAGUGAAAGGUCUCAAAGGUCAGAAUAUGUGGGCCCUUAAGGACGCUCUAGGAAGAGCGGUGUUUUGUUGUGUGGAUGUAACUGUGUCCGGACGAAUGAAUGUGUGAAC